rnacentral:rRNA from 1 species
UUGUUCGCCAAACAACUACGAGCCACACUUAAAACUUAAAAGACUUGACGGUACUUCACCACGCCCUAGAGGAGCCUGUCUAAUAACCGACAACCCACGAUUAACCCAACCUCCCCUUGCCCAACAGCCUAUAUACCGCCGUCGCCAGCCUACCUUGUAAAAGAAAUAAAGUAGACUAAACAGUACUAUACUAAAACGACAGGUCGAGGUGUAGCUUAUGGAGAGGACCAAGAUGGGCUACAUUCUCCAACUGAGUAUACGAACAACACUAUGAAACUAGUCUUUAAAGGCGGAUUUAGCAGUAAGAUAGGAAUAAAAUACCUAACUGAACAUAACGCAAUGAAGUGCGCACACACCGCCCGUCAUCCCUGCCACCAC